GACUAACGCUGGCGGCGUGCCCAAUACAUGCAAGUCGAACGGGAUUCUUUGAUCAGCUUGCUGAGAGAAGGAUCUAGUGGCGGACGGGUGAGUAACGCGUGGGAAUCUGCCUCUUACUGGGGGAUAACAGUGGGAAACUACUGCUAAUACCGCAUAAGAUCUUCGGAUGAAAGGUGCAACUGCACCGGUAAGAGAUGAGCCCGCGUCCCAUUAGCUAGUUGGUGAGGUAAAGGCUCACCAAGGCGACGAUGGGUAGCCGGCCUGAGAGGGUGAACGGCCACACUGGGACUGAGACACGGCCCAGACUCCUACGGGAGGCAGCAGUAGGGAAUCUUCCGCAAUGGGCGCAAGCCUGACGGAGCGACGCCGCGUGAGUGAUGAAGGCCUUCGGGUCGUAAAGCUCUGUUCUUGAGGACGAAUAAGCCAGGGAGUGGAAAGCCCGUGGUGAUGACUGUACUCAAGGAGAAAGCUCCGGCUAACUACGUGCC
rnacentral:rRNA from 1 species